GUCAACUCCCCACCACUUAAACGGUAAAGCGUUAUGAAGUGGGGGCUUGAAAAAGCCCUAGUUGUCUAGCCUUAGCUUUAAGCUACGUUGGGCAUGUCAAUACGGCUUGGUGUAAUUCCCUAGCACCUUUUGUCGUU
rnacentral:sRNA from 13 species